UCCUGAUUUUCAUCAGAUUCUUUUCAUGUGGUGUAGUGCUCCUGCUCAUGCGUAGAAAUUCAUUCCAUUAGCAUGUUUGAGACCAGGUUCCUUAUUUUGGAUGAAGGCUAUUCUUUCAAACAUGCAAGCUGGAAAGUAGAAAUACUUUAAAGGAAGUGAGCAUAAAAUACGGUUUCCAUGGAAAGCAAGGAGAAGGUCCUUCUUUGGAUAGUCUUCUGCCUCUGCAGAUCAUUGAAGAAACAGAAAGCAGACUUCCCCUUCCCACCAUCCCCCCUGGAGGAUUAUUUGGAGAUCUCAGAUCCUGCUUCCACAUCUCAGUCUGCAUUUGAUUUAAGAUAAAUGAAGCAGAGUGUCUUUAACAAAAACAAAACAAAAAACCCACAAAAGCACAUACAUUUUUUCCUCUGGUGCUGAGAGUUUGAAUGAAAUAGAUGCUAAUAAGGAAAACAAGAAUGAAUUUCCUUAUAACAAAGAGUCAAAAACAUAUAGAAUGGAUAUUAUGAAAAAAUUCUUCUCUGAAAGAAUGAUCCAGCACUGGAACGGUCUGCCUAGGGAGUGGUUGACUCACUGUAGGUGUUUGAGAAAUGCUUAGAUGUGGUACUAAGAGACAUGGUUUAGUGGGGAAAUAUUGGUAGUAGGUAGAUGGUUGGACUGGAUGGUCUUGGAGGUCUUUUCCAGCCUUAGUAGUUCUAUGGUAGUUUCAGUGCAGCCAUGUACUUGGCCUUCCUGGACUGAGGACAAAAAGAAGGUGCCUAGCUCUACUGAAGCAAUAUUCUCAAGGACACAAGGGUCCUCUAAGGGUAGCUGUAAUCCUGUAAAUCUUCAUAAGCAUUUUCUCUGCAGGAUUUUUAUCUUAAGUAAAAAUUUCCAAUAUGCUGCACACAUCAGGGGGGUACAUGAACUUCCCAUGGCUGCCUUCAUGCUCUGUGAUUGUGAUGGAGACUCUUGAUUCACCUGAUGCAAUAUCUGAGCUCUUUGAAGCUGUGCUAAACCACACUUUUAA